rnacentral:sRNA from 1 species
AUUUCCCAUCGUGCUGAGGCGGGUGGCAUGGCGGAGAAGGAUGACACCGGAGUUUGACGAAGAGGUGGUUUUUGAGAAUUCUCCACUUUACCAAUACUUACAGGAUCUGGGACACACAGACUUUGAAAUAUGUUCUUCUUUGUCACCAAAAACAGAAAAAUGCACAACAGAGGGACAACAAAAGCCUCCUACAAGAGUCCUACCAAAACAAGGUAUCCUGUUAAAAGUGGCUGAAACCAUCAAAAGUUGGAUUUUUUUUUCUCAGUGCAAUAAGAAAGAUGACUUACUUCACAAGUUGGUGGAGCCAUCUCAUUCUUCAGUGAUACUAGGACUGUGGAUAUUGGAUUCCGACUCGACUCAUUACAUACCAUCCUGCAACAGGAAGUCCUGUUACAAGAGGAUGUGGAGCUGAUUGAGCUACUUGAUCCCAGUAUCCUGUCUGCAGGGCAAUCUCAACAACAGGAAAAUGGACACCUUCCAACACUUUGCUCCCUGGCAACCCCUAAUAUUUGGGAUCUCUCAAUGCUAUUUGCCUUCAUUAGCUUGCUCGUUAUGCUUCCCACUUGGUGGAUUGUGUCUUCCUGGCUGGUA